rnacentral:sRNA from 1 species
ACCUGAGCACCGUCUCUUAGAGAAGAGCUAUGACUCCACCCUUGUUGCCGGUAGCUUUCGGCUGUAGAGCCUAGU